GACGUAGGGCGCAAGCGUUGUCCGGAAUUAUUUGGGCGUAAAGAGCUCGUAGGCGGUUUUGUCGCGUCUGCUGUGAAAACUCAGGGCUUUAACCCUGAGCUUGCAGUGGGUACGGGCAGACUAGAGUGCGGUAGGGGAGACUGGAAUUUCCUGGUGUAGCGGUGAAAUGCGCAGAUAUCAGGAGGAACACCAAUGGCGAAGGCAGCUCACUGGGACGGUAUUUGACGCUGGAGAACGCGAAAAGCGUGGGGAGCAAACAGG
rnacentral:rRNA from 1 species